CAGGGGUUGAACCCGGUUCAGGGAACAGAACCGAAUACCAGAGAUGAACAAAAAAAAUAUCGAGGAACCGUUCUGGAACAGAACUGUUAUUUUAAAAGCAUGGGAACCGGUUAAUAAUGUUCUGGCCAUUUUUUUCUAGUCCCAUAAAAGACCUCUCUGUCACUCAGAAACUUAUUCCAGUGUCUGCCUGCCUGCCAGCUGAACAUAUUUGCCAGUGCUUCUGUGUGUAGGCUACCUGCCCCUCCCUCUGAAACACAGUCUACUGUAGCCUACUGACAUUACAUACGUGAUUCAGAAAUUAGAGAGAUUUUUUUAUUAGAGAAGACCGGAUUAACCUUUUCAAUGCUACUUAAAAAAUGUACUAUAGUUCACGUUUCAAAUUGGAUUUAUAAAGUACGAAAAGAUACUAACUGCACUGGCAGCACCCCCCCGCACAGGUGGCUGGCUACGAUAACACACCCAAACACACACACUGAAACCCUCUAAACACACACACAUCCAAACACACACACUGAAACUCUCUAACCACACACACCAGCAUAGAGAACAAAGAACUCUGUCAAGAACCAAAGGGAUACUGACACUAGGCUGGAGAGGACUGUCUAUCACCUACAAGCAACCUACCAGAAGCCAGGACUACCAGAAUCUACCUACGUCAUUCUAUGUAUUAAUUCUGAUGCACGCUUUGUCUUCGGGGCGCGUUCCAGCUGUCUCUCUCUGAGUCAAGUGUGAAUGAGCCCGUGCACGCCUGAGCAAUACUUUUUCACUGAAUAAACAGCCUACAUAUAUUUUA